rnacentral:rRNA from 1 species
UACGGGGGGGGCAAGCGUUGUUCGGAAUUACUGGGCGUAAAGGGCUCGUAGGUGGCCAACUAAGUCAGACGUGAAAUCCCUCGGCUUAACCGGGGAACUGCGUCUGAUACUGGAUGGCUUGAGUUUGGGAGAGGGAUGCGGAGUUCCAGGUGUAGCGGUGAAAUGCGUAGAUAUCUGGAGGAACACCGGUGGCGAAGGCGGCAUCCUGGACCAAUACUGACGCUGAGGAGCGAAAGCUAGGGGAGCAAACAGG